rnacentral:pre_miRNA from 1 species
AAUUUCAGCUGAAAAAGUCAUGAACAUGAAAGUUGCAGAGCUCAUCAAGACAUACAACUUUUAUUUUGGUCAUUUCUUCAUCUGAUAAAUUGAUAAUAAUAUUGUUCACAAAGUUUACAUAUGAGAUAGAUGCAAAUUUUGUGAACAAUGUUACUAUCACUUUGUCGGAUGAAGAAAUGACCAAAAUAAAAGUUAUAGAUCUUGAUGAGUUAUACAACUUUGUUGUUGAUGACUUUUUCAGUUGAAAUC